AUAACAAUACCUUUGGAAGUAUUUCAAGGAGCAAUUUCUCAUCACUCUUAUUUCGUGAGGAGAAGAAAGGAAGAAAAUUGUAAUUAUGAAAGUUCUCUAUCCUAACUUACUGGUCUUGCUGGACAAGAGAAUUCUUCUGAAUGACAGCCAAACGACUGAGAAUAUCCAGUGGUAUAUUUUCAUACUACUCCCACAUCCUCGAGGAAUACCCCAGAGUUCUACUGGGUGAGGACAGGGAAGUGGGACAUCCUAACAGCCACCUGGGGUUUUCCAUGUGCUACAUCCUUCCGUACGUCUAGGGACUGGAACUGCCUCUUGUUCCCUUCUCUCAGGUUUAGAUCAUUCUACUCUGUGAAAGUAAGUAAUGGUUUCAAGGAGACCGCUCUUAACUGGUUCAUCACCUCCCAAUUAUUUCCCUCUUUUCUUCAAAAUAUAAUCACUCUGUGGUCAAGUAAACAUGAGAAUGCUUCAAUAAACAAGUAUACCAUACAGUAAAUAUUAAAGUAGUAUCUUUAUUUUGUAUGGUUGUAUGUAUCAUUUGACCUAGGGAAACCACCUAUAGGAUUUUUGUUGUUAGGUUCAUUAUAAUCAUAUAAACAGCAUUGUUAUCAGGGCCCAUUCAGUAAAUUAUAGACACAGUGUUCUUCAAUGGAAUUCUGGCAUCUGUUACAAUGGGAUUCUGGCUUGACAAAGUUAGAAAAUUACAAAAGUAUCAAGUUAAAAUGGACUAGAAGAGAUGUAACCUUUGUUGCAUGCUAAUAAAGGCUACACAAAGCUCUUAGGCGUAUGAUUUUUUCUCCCAAAACCACAAAGCAAAUGUUUUACUUAUUUUAUAAAUGACGAAAUUGAGGUUCAUACUGCUAGAAAGUGGGAGAGCUAAGAAUUGACCUGAAUCAAUCUGACCUCUUCUACUACCCUGGGCUAGCAGGCCUGGGAAAGGCAGGGAGGAAGUAGAUGAUCAGAAGCAGGCAACAAAGAAAUGAAACCACUGUAUUAUAACCAUGCAAAGAAACAAUGGCUACACACUUAACCCAGGGAGAACACA